UUAGGGAAAAUCUUUAAGUGUACUGUUUCUGAGUUUCUGAAAAGUGAACAGGAAGUAGUGUAAAGGGAGGUGGUAAAGAUCCAGUCUUCCCCUAACUUAUUUCCUGGUGUUAAGGCUCUAAUGCUUCCCUAUUAGCACAAUUCCCCUAAUAGUGGUAUCUAUUAUAAUACCAAGCCACAUGUAUGACUAACUUCCUCCUUUAUGACUAUGUGGUUGUCAAUUGAGCCAAUGUUAAAUCAUAUGUCAUGUCACAUGUUCAUUAGCUACCUCCCACUCCACAUUCCUGGAUUCUUCAAUAUAAGUUUGGGAACAUGUGAAGCCUCCACAGACCAUAAGCUGCAGGAGAAGAUCAAGAAUGAACUUUGGAUGUGGUUGAUUGAACAUUUAUUUAUAAUGGAAACAUCUGGACUCCCACCAAGCAAAUAAAACCAUUGAGAGGACCAGAUCCAGAAGCAGACGAAGCAGAUUUGCAACCAGGACCGAACACGACAUACCAUGUGGCCCAGGAUCAGGAAGAGGAGCAAACGAACAACACAGAUGACAUCGGUCACCUGUACACCAGCCACCCUCAAGACACACCUGGCGAGAUGCUUACUUUUGACUACACACAUACCAAAGAUUGACAUUACACCUCUUUUAAUUAUAUUCACUAUUAUUGCCCUGA